rnacentral:RNase_P_RNA from 1 species
ACCACAAACUGCUCUGUCGCCUUUGCUCCGACCCCGGUCGGAGCGGGGAGGAAAGUCCGGACAACACAGAGCACCGCACCGUCUAACCGACGGAGUUGUGCUUUCUUUCGGGAAAGUGCAGCAUAGAAAGUGUCGCAGAAAAUAACCGCCCUGCCUCGGCGGGGUAAGGGUGAAAACGUGCGGUAAGAGCGCACGCUCCGACCUGGUAACAGGCCGGAGGGAUAAACCUUGCGGGUUGCAAUGCCAAGUAUACCUUGUGUCCGCACCUUGAGCGGAACGGCGCGGCUCGCGCUGCGUUUGUAUGGCAAACGACGAGGGGGGUAGGCAGCGCAGACGCUCCGCGCAAGCGGCAGCGCCAGAUAAAUGACAGAGGCCUGCUUUCGGGCAGGUACAGAAUCCGGCUUACAGGUUUGUGGUUUUA